GUAACACAGCACUUGUGUUUCUUUUUGGUCUUUUAUCACAAGAAUACAGAUUCCCCCCGUGUGUGCUUUUCUGUGUGGUGUUCAUGUUCCGGGCUGCUCUUUUCUUACCGAAGUGCUAAACAUGAUUUUUGUGCUCUGAUGAUGCUCUUUUCCCUGCUUUCCCAUGCUUAAUUCCCUGUUAUAUCUAAAGAGUCUCAGAGAACAGCAAAUAGUGAAGAAGUAUGAGUACUCCAGCCCAAAAAAGCAUUACUACAGGAUUUAUUGCUGCUCAAGCAAAAAAGCUGGUAAUGAUGCUGAAAGCUCUCUGCAC